ensembl:lncRNA
GCAAAAAAAAUGGCAAAUUGCACUUGCCAAACUGCUCAUAAGAGUGUUAGCUAUUGAUUGAACUGAGCUGAGAAGGAAACAGGAUACACACACCUAUUCACACCUAAGGGAGGAGGACACUGGCACAAGAAGAGGCACAAGGAUGCAGCAAUUACAUCAAUUCAAUACAAAUGUAAUGUGUGCUCCCCCACCCUCCACGCACUUGACGAGGGUAAUCCUCAAAAGCCCUGUUAGGUCUAAAAUGUAUGACAUGAGGAAAUUAUUUUGAUAGAGGGCCUGCACAUGGACCCGACAGUAGCUCCAACCUCAUCAAAACAUGAGAAAGAACUGAAGAGCUGCCGACAACAUAACGCAGUAUUAUAUGGCAAAAAACUAAGAGUACACUAAAGUUGCAGACAGGCUCGUAUGAUAGGGUACCUGACCUGGAUGUAUUCUUAACAGUUAGGAACAAGUAAGUUCACAUAUUAUUACUAAUAAUAUUAUGGCUGUGGUGAUCCAUAUCCAGGCUCCAUAUUUUCAUGACCUUUUUAGAGAAAUUCACCUCAUUCAUGCCUGAUCACAGAAUAGACAGAGAUACAAUUACAGUCUUGAUGUUACUCACGAUAAUACACAUUCUUAAAUGUUUUCUUGCAAAGAAAUUGUCAUAAUGAUGUCUGUUGCCCACUAACGCUAAUGAGUCACAGAAUGGAUAGAGGGGUCAAGAGUGAAGUGAGCCGGUACCCAACAGCUCUCCUGGACCAUACCCCUUUCAGUCAACCAGGUAUUAGAGCCCACAUCCAUGUUGGUGGACUUUGAGCAGUUCCCUGACCGUGAAAGCCUCACCUCCAUCAAUGAUCCCGGGGGGUGGGCGGGUUAGGGGCGGGAAAGAGAGGACUGGACAGCAAAAGGGCGUGACUGUGAAACAUGAAAUGUCUGGUGAAUACACCGCAUGGACAAUGGUAAAGACAGCCUCUGUUGAAAGGGCCAACAAACCUGGGCGCCGAUUGACGAGAGGGUAGUUGGACAGGUAGGUGGCUGUUGGCUGUUGAUAGCAUUGCCCUCUGACCAAGGCAAUACACAGGGAGCCCGGGUGCCUGGAGCGGCUGCACCUGAGCGGAUGGUUUCUGCAAAGCAGCGGUUAGAGAUGGCAAACCCUGGUAGACAGGGGUGAUCUCCUGUUGGUAAAAAACCCAAGGAGAGAACCUUGCUUUUCCAAUACAGUUUUCACUGAAUCAAAGUCUGUUGGGUCCAUGUUUUGGCUGUGUUAUAUCUGUCACGGUUAUCAGCCAACAAACUGGUCUGGACCCUAGAACAGACUCAUGAGCCAAAGGAGAUGCAGAGUUCACGAUUACUCUAACAAAAACUCCAGGCACAGAUCCAUACAGACAAGGUAGCACUUAACACUUCAUCUCUCAUAAGGGUAAGCAGGCAAGAUUCAUACACAGUUCGUAAUCUUAGAGACAGGUUAACAGGCAAGACCCACACCUUCCUCCUUAG